GACGAACGCUGGCGGCGUGCUUAACACAUGCAAGUCGAGCGGUAAGGCCCUUUCGGGGUACGACGAGCGGCGAACGGGUGAGUAACACGUGGGUGACCUGCCCUCAGCUCUGGGAUAAGCCUGGGAAACCGGGUACUAAUACCGGAUAUGACUCCAUGACGCAUGUUGUGGGGUGGAAAGCCUUGUGCGGCUGAGGAUGGGCCCGCGGCCUAUCAGCUUGUUGGUGGGGUGAUGGCCUACCAAGGCGACGACGGGUAGCCGGCCUGAGAGGGCGACCGGCCACACUGGGGCUGAGACACGGCCCAGACUCCUACGGGAGGCAGCAGGUGGGGAAUCUUGCGC
rnacentral:rRNA from 1 species